UCGACUUUAGAGCGAAUGUUCUUAAGACGUCAUCUGUACAGGGUUGUUUAGUGUGUAGUGUUGAGGACGUUUCACACCAAGAGGCUUCGUCAGCAACUUGCUCCUUCUGGCAGCAGACUGAAUAUAAUAUGUAUUCAAUAUCAAAUCUAUUCUGAUCCAAACUAGAUCCAUAUAUAUAUAUAUAUAUGUUCAGCCUGGUGCUAAAAGAUCAUCAGUUGCUGACAAAGUUGUUUGAGGCAAGAGGUUAAACGUCCUCAAUACCAAACCCAGAACAGAAGAAGUUUUUUUUUUAUGAUGGACAACUUCAGUGUGACAUAGCAUAGGCACAAACAUUUGUCCCUUUUUAUUUGGUUUAGGUUAGUCGACAAACAUAUCUGGAAAUUGAAUUUUUGUGUAGCUUGCUUACUUUUUAGUUAAAGUGCAUAUGACAGAUUUUUAUGUUUUUGACUUAUUUGAAAGUUGUAUAAAACUGCUGCCAUUUUUAUGAUUUUAAAGAUGAGGAAGAUGGAGAAUUCCAUAUUUCAAGGAUAGACCGGCAGCUCCAAUACACACUAAUGGAAAACAUCUCCCUCGCUGCUCUCAGUUGUUUACAUAAUCACUUUUGGCUCACGUUUCUGAGGUUUCUGACAUGGUACAGGUAAGUCCUGAUUUGAUUCUGUCUACAGCUUUCGUUUUGUUGAUUAACAUUUUGCAAAACCUUAUUUGGUUUAUCACGAUCAAAAGAAGCUAACAGGCUAACGGGCAAAAAUAACUGUGGGCUAGCGCAACUUUAGCAGUAUUUACGGCCAAGUUUGAGCGGGAAAAAAAUAUCCCCAUUGUAUAAUUGGGCACAAUGUACAAUAUCCCUCUCUCCCUUUGACUUUUCUCAGCGUAGUAUUUACUCUCACGGACAAUUAAUGAGUAAAUAAAAACGCAACAUGCCACGACAGCUGCAGUGGCGCUUGUGGCCUCAGGGUUACUUAGUUUCUCCUUUAACAAAUUCGGAAUUAGGAAUAUAUUUUCGACAAAAUAAAGAUACAGAGAUCUGGAGAGGAGCAAAGUGGUUCAAUAGCCCAUAAAGACAUAAAUAACGGAAAAUGCUAACCUAACGUUAGCUUCAUGCUACACGCCAACGCUACCUUUGAGUGCCAGUCUUUCGCUUCUACUGGACAAAUUUGCUU
rnacentral:lncRNA from 1 species